UGGGGAAUAUUGCACAAUGGGGGAAACCCUGAUGCAGCGACGCCGCGUGAGGGAAGAAGGUUUUCGGAUUGUAAACCUCUGUCUUUCGUGAAGAUAAUGACGGUAACGAAAGAGGAAGCCACGGCUAACUACGUGCCAGCAGCCGCGGUAAUACGUAGGUGGCAAGCGUUGUCCGGAAUUACUGGGUGUAAAGGGAGCGUAGGCGGGUGACUAAGUUGAAUGUGAAAUCCUCAGGCUCAACCUGAGAACUGCGUUCAAAACUGGACAUCUUGAGUGAAGUAGAGGUAGGCGGAAUUCCUAGUGUAGCGGUGAAAUGCGUAGAUAUUAGGAGGAACACCAGUGGCGAAGGCGGCCUACUGGGCUUUAACUGACGCUGAGGCUCGAAAGCGUGGGUAGCAAACA
rnacentral:rRNA from 1 species